rnacentral:rRNA from 1 species
AUUGAACGCUGGCGGCAUGCUUUACACAUGCAAGUCGAACGGUAACAGGGUGCUUGCACCGCUGACGAGUGGCGAACGGGUGAGUAAUACAUCGGAAUGUACCCAGUAAUGGGGGAUAACGCUUCGAAAGGAGUGCUAAUACCGCAUACGCACUGAGGGGGAAAGUGGGGGACCGCAAGGCCUCACGUUAUUGGAGCAGCCGAUGGCUGAUUAGCUAGUUGGUGAGGUAAAGGCUCACCAAGGCGACGAUCAGUAGCGGGUCUUAGAGGACGGUCCGCCACACUGGAACUGAGACACGGUCCAGACGCCUACGGGAGGCAGCAGUGGGGAAUCUUGGACAAUGGGCGAAAGCCUGAUCCAGCAAUGCCGCGUGCGUGAAGAAGGCCUUCGGGUUGUAAAGCGCUUUAAGUUGGGAGGAAGGGCAGUAAGUUAAUACCUUGCUGUUUUGACGUUACCGACAGAAUAAGCACCGGCUAACUCUGUGCCAGCCGCCGCCGUAAAAC